rnacentral:rRNA from 1 species
UACGUAGGGGGCAAGCGUUGUCCGGAAUCAUUGGGCGUAAAGCGCGCGUAGGCGGCCCUGUAAGUCCGUUGUGAAAGUCAAAGGCUCAACCUUUGAAAGCCGAUGGAUACUGCAGGGCUAGAGUCCGGAAGAGGCGAGUGGAAUUCCUGGUGUAGCGGUGGAAUGCGCAGAUAUCAGGAGGAACACCAAUAGCGAAGGCAGCUCGCUGGGACGGUACUGACGCUAAAACGCGAAAGCGUGGGGAGCAAACAGG